rnacentral:tRNA from 1 species
GGGGUUGUGGCUCAGCGGUAGAGCACCUUGCCUAGCAUAUGCAAGGCCCUGGGUUCAAUCCUCAGCACCACA